rnacentral:rRNA from 1 species
UACGAAGGGGGCUAGCGUUGCUCGGAAUUACUGGGCGUAAAGCGCUCGUAGGCGGAUCUUUAAGUCAGAGGUGAAAUCCCAAGGCUCAACCUUGGAACUGCCUUUGAUACUGGGGAUCUCGAGUCCGGGAGAGGUGAGUGGAACUGCGAGUGUAGAGGUGAAAUUCGUAGAUAUUCGCAAGAACACCAGUGGCGAAGGCGGCUCACUGGCCCGAUACUGACGCUGAGGCACGAAAGCGUGGGGAGCGAACAGG